rnacentral:tRNA from 12 species
GCACCCGUAGCUCAGGGGAUAGAGCACUGGUUUCCGGUGCCAGGUGUCGGGAGUUCGAAUCUCUCCGGGUGUA